rnacentral:rRNA from 1 species
UACGUAGGGUGCGAGCGUUGUCCGGAAUUAUUGGGCGUAAAGAGCUCGUAGGCGGUUUGUUGCGUCGGCUGUGAAAUCCCGAGGCUCAACCUCGGGUCUGCAGUCGAUACGAGCAAACUAGAGUGUUGCAGGGGGAGACUGGAAUUCCUGGUGUAGCGGUGAAAUGCGCAGAUAUCAGGAGGAACACCGGUGGCGAAGGCGGGGUCUCUGGGGCAACAACUGACGCUGAGGAGCGAAAGCGUGGGGGAGCGAACAGG